rnacentral:rRNA from 1 species
UGUUCAUACGUUGACGGUAUUUAACCAGAAAGUCAACGGCUAACUACGUGCCAGCAGCCGCGGUAAUACGUAGGUGGCAAAGCGUUAUCCGGAUUUAUUGGGCGUAAAGAGAGUGCAGGCGGUUUUCUAAGUCUGAUGUGAAAGCCUUCGGCUUAACCGGAGAAGUGCAUCGGAAACUGGAUAACUUGAGUGCAGAAGAGGGUAGUGGAACUCCAUGUGUAGCGGUGGAAUGCGUAGAUAUAUGGAAGAACACCAGUGGCGAAGGCGGCUACCUGGUCUGCAACUGACGCUGAGACUCGAAAGCAUGGGUACGCGAACAGGAUUAGACUACCCUGGUAG